CCUAAAGCUACAUUGCCUUCCUCCAUAUUUACAUGUUCAACCUUAGAAAAGCUUCGGGUGCAAUCAGGUUACUUCCUCAAACAGCCUUCUUCAAUGUGCCUUUCAAAACUCCAGGUGUUGACGCUUUCAGGAGUUGCAUUUGAGGAUUCCGAUGGAGAAGUUGUUUGCCAGUCCGUUACUUGAAACUUUAGAAAUUGACGAUUGUUAGUUGGUGAAACCCAAAAGAAUACGCAUUUCUGCCCCCAGGCUUCAACAUUUAUAUAUCAAAAUGUAUUCUCACAGUUCAGAUGACUGCAUCCUACAUAUCAGUGGACCUUGUCUUAAAUCCUUCCACUAUCAUGGUGUUCUCGUCAAAGAACACUGCAUAUUGGGAGUCGCCAGACAGUUAGUUGAGGCCAAGCUACUACUGAGUUUUAGAAGCGUAAGAGAUAGAGAGGUAGCCCAGGGUAACAAGCUCCUGUCAGUCGUCUCUAAUGUGAAGGAGUUUAUCUACACAAUUCUAGAGGCAAGCUCCAUCCUUUGGACCUUGUCACAAGGGAUGAGCUUCCUUUGUUCAGUAAUAUGAUCAAGGUCACUUCAGAUUGGAUAAGUUCUACAACUGUUAAGGGCCUUUGGGGCUACAUUAAAGGUCUUUGGGGGAUAUUGAGAAGAUCUCCUCAUCUUCGAAGCCUCUACUUUAGACUGGGAUAGAAGAGUUGCUACACCAAGUGCCUUCAUGUUUCGUCACAGAGCUCACAAAAAUAUCUGUCAAGUUUCGUAAUGGGAUAGGUGGCCCAGAAGAGCUUUUCAUGGUUCGGAUUUUCCUUGAGAAGGUUGUGGCUUUGAGAGAAAUGGUUAUCCUAUUUCCCGAGGACUGUGUGGACGAGGAGAAUCUGCUGGAGAGUUUAAGCAAGUUUCUCAUGGGAUCAAAGAAAUGUCGAAUCUCAUUGCAAGCACAACCUGUGGGUUGAGAUUGGAAAAUCUUGUAGGAUUAAUUUAGUCUAUCGUGAUAUUUUGAUUUGUGAAAUGAACUUCUAUCUUGAUUUUGUUAGGUGUCUCUUUGUUUAGUUAUAUGCUUUGUAAGUUUGAUGUAAUUUUGUCUAUAGAGGCACAUCAGAGGAAGUAUGCAAUCCAGAAUCCUUGGUCAGAAGAGGUUCUUGAACUAGACCUGAGUCAUGGGAGAAAGAAACAGGUAAUUCAUAGGAGCUUAUGGGAAUGAAUUGUCAUGAAUUUUCUCAUACCGCGACGUCAAUAGAUCUCAUAAAUACUUGCGAAAAAUAAUAAUCAAUAUUGUCAUGCACAAUAAAUUUGUGCUUUACCCGUGCA